GACGAACGCUGGCGGCGUGCUUAACACAUGCAAGUCGAACGAAGAGCGAUGGAAGCUUGCUUCUAUCAAUCUUAGUGGCGAACGGGUGAGUAACGCGUAAUCAACCUGCCCUUCAGAGGGGGACAACAGUUGGAAACGACUGCUAAUACCGCAUACGAUCUAAUCUCGGCAUCGAGGAUAGAUGAAAGGUGGCCUCUACAUGUAAGCUAUCACUGAAGGAGGGGAUUGCGUCUGAUUAGCUAGUUGGAGGGGUAACGGCCCACCCAGGCGAUGAUCAGUAGCCGGUCUGAGAGGAUGAACGGCCACAUUGGGACUGAGACACGGCCCAGACUCCUACGGGAGGCAGCAGUGGGGAAUCUUCCGCAAUGGACGAAAGUCUGACGGAGCAACGCCGCGUGAGUGAUGACGGCCUUCGGGUUGUAAAGCUCUGUUAAUCGGGACGAAAGGCCUUCUUGCGAAUAGUGAGAAGGAUUGACGGUACCGGAAUAGAAAGCCACGGCUAACUACGUG
rnacentral:rRNA from 1 species